rnacentral:rRNA from 1 species
UGGGGAAUAUUGCACAAUGGGCGCAAGCCUGAUGCAGCAACGCCGCGUGAACGAUGAAGGUCUUCGGAUCGUAAAGUUCUGUUGCAGGGGAAGAUAAUGACGGUACCCUGUGAGGAAGCCCCGGCUAACUACGUGCCAGCAGCCGCGGUAAUACGUAGGGGGCUAGCGUUAUCCGGAUUUACUGGGCGUAAAGUGUGCGUAGGUGGUCCUUCAAGUCGGUGGUUAAAGGCUACGGCUCAACCGUAGUAAGCCGCCGAAACUGGAGGACUUGAGUGCAGGAGAGGAAAGUGGAAUUCCCAGUGUAGCGGUGAAAUGCGUAGAUAUUGGGAGGAACACCAGUAGCGAAGGCGGCUUUCUGGACUGCAACUGACACUGAGGCACGAAAGCGUGGGUAGCAAACAGG